rnacentral:lncRNA from 1 species
AUGGAGGUAUGGGAUAGGGACCCCAAGAAUCUGCUCUCCUCCCAGGACUCUCCUAGCACCAAGCUCCCUCCCCUGGGAGUGGGGGGCUCCACCCUCUCCUCUGCUCCAGGGCACCUUGGGAAAGGCCUGAGUGCCUGGGCACAUCUCAGGUCAUCCUGGCCACUGGCUGCUGAGGCUGUGCUGGCCAAGGCUGGCCUGGGAGGGGCUGAGAAACAGGAAGCCUCCUGCCCUGGUCACAUGGAGAGUUAUUGUCUUGUUUCCUUCUUCAGGAUGUCAGCUUCCUCCAGAAUGUGGACAGGAUGGAGAAUUGGGACCCUUGUGCCACUCCAGGCUAACAGCCCAGCCCAAACUUGCAGUCCCUUUCUCUGUUUCCAUUUCAGGGUUUCUCAGUGUCCAUCCCCAGGUUCACCAGGGCUCACUCUUACUGUAAGCUCUCUCUCUCUCUCAUUCUCUCUCUCUCUCUCUCUCUGUGUGUGUGUGUGUGUAUGUGUUACUCUCUCUGUCUCUGUCUCUCUCUCUGCGUUUCUCUCUCUGCCUCUCUGUCUCUGUCUCUCUCUGUGUGUGUUUCUCUCUCUCUCUCUCUCUCUCUCUCUGUGUGUGUGUUUCCUCUCUGUCUCUGUCUCUCUCUCUGCGUUUCUCUCUCUGCCUCUCUCUCUCUCUCUCUGUUUCUCUCUCUCUCUGUUUCCUCUCUGUCUCUGUCUCUCUGUCGUGUGUGUGUUUCUCUUUCUCUCUGUGUGUGUUUCCUCUCUGUCUCUGUCUCUCUGUUGUGUGUGUUUCUCUCUGUGUGUGUGUCUGUGUGUUUCCUCUCUGUCUCUGUCUCUCUGUUGUGUGUGUUUCUCUCUGUGUGUGUGUCUGUGUGUUUCCUCUCUGUCUCUGUCUCUCUGUUGUGUGUGUUUCUCUCUCUCUGUGUGUCUGUGUGUUUCCUCUCUGUCUCUGUCUCUCUGUUCUCUCUCUCUCUCUCUCUCUCUCUCUCUCUCUCUCUCUGUUUCUCUCUUUGUGUGUGUUUCUAAAAUUAAAAAUAACAAACCUGUAGGCGUGGGCUCCAACAUUGGAAUAAAUUUUAUUUUUCAUUACUUUGUUCUAUCUAUUUGUGUCUGUGGUGGGUGA